AGCGAACGCUGGCGGCAGGCCUAACACAUGCAAGUCGAACGAACCCUUCGGGGUUAGUGGCGGACGGGUGAGUAACACGUGGGAACGUGCCUUUAGGUUCGGAAUAACUCAGGGAAACUUGUGCUAAUACCGAAUGUGCCCUUCGGGGGAAAGAUUUAUCGCCUUUAGAGCGGCCCGCGUCUGAUUAGCUAGUUGGUGAGGUAAUGGCUCACCAAGGCUACGAUCAGUAGCUGGUCUGAGAGGAUGACCAGCCACAUUGGGACUGAGACACGGCCCAAACUCCUACGGGAGGCAGCAGUGGGGAAUCUUGCGCAAUGGGCGAAAGCCUGACGCAGCCAUGCCGCGUGGAUGAUGAAGGUCUUAGGAUUGUAAAAUCCUUUCACCGGUGAAGAUAAUGACUGUAGCCGGAGAAGAAGCCACGGCUAACUCUGUGCCAGCCGCCGCCGUAAUAC
rnacentral:rRNA from 1 species